GAUGAACGCUGGCGGCGUGCCUAAUACAUGCAAGUCGAGCGAACAGACGAGGAGCUUUCUCCUCUGACGUUAGCGGCGGACGGGUGAGUAACACGUGGAUAACCUACCUAUAAGACUGGGAUAACUUCGGGAAACCGGAGCUAAUACCGGAUAAUAUAUUGAACCGCAUGGUUCAAUAGUGAAAGACGGUUUUGCUGUCACUUAUAGAUGGAUCCGCGCCGCAUUAGCUAGUUGGUAAGGUAACGGCUUACCAAGGCAACGAUGCGUAGCCGACCUGAGAGGGUGAUCGGCCACACUGGAACUGAGACACGGUCCAGACUCCUACGGGAGGCAGCAGUAGGGAAUCUUCCGCAAUGGGCGAAAGCCUGACGGAGCAACGCCGCGUGAGUGAUGAAGGUCUUCGGAUCGUAAAACUCUGUUAUUAGGGAAGAACAAAUGUGUAAGUAACUAUGCACGUCUUGACGGCACCUAAUCAGAAAGCCACGGCUAACUACGUG
rnacentral:rRNA from 1 species